rnacentral:rRNA from 1 species
UACGGAGGGUGCAAGCGUUGUCCGGAAUCACUGGGCGUAAAGGGCGCGUAGGCGGCUCAUGAAGGCUGUGGUGAAAGUCCGGGGCUCAACCUCGGAUCGGCCGUGGCGACUCGUGGGCUGGAGCACUGUAGAGGCGGGUGGAAUUCCGGGUGUAGCGGUGGAAUGCGUAGAGAUCCGGAAGAACACCAGUGGCGAAGGCGACUGACUGGACAAGUAUUGACGCUGAGGUGCGAAAGCGUGGGGAGCAAACAGG